AUAAACCUACGGGAGGCAGCAGUGAGGAAUAUUGGUCAAUGGCCGAGAGGCCGAACCAGCCAAGUCGCGUGAGGGAAGACGGCCCUACGGGUUGUAAACCUCUUUUGUCGGGGAGCAAAGCGAACCACGUGUGGUUCAUUGAGAGUACCCGAAGAAAAAGCAUCGGCUAACUCCGUGCCAGCAGCCGCGGUAAUACGGAGGAUGCGAGCGUUAUCCGGAUUUAUUGGGUGUAAAGGGUGCGUAGACGGGAAAUUAAGUUAGUUGUGAAAUCCCUCGGCUUAACUGAGGAACUGCAACUAAAACUG
rnacentral:rRNA from 1 species